UACGUAGGGGGCAAGCGUUGUUCGGAAUGACUGGGCGUAAAGGGUGCGUAGGCGGUGUAGCAAGUUAGAAGUGAAAUACCUAGAGCUUAGCUCAGGUGCUGCUUCUAAAACUGCUAUACUUGAGUGCAGUAGAGGAAAGUGGAAUUCCUAGUGUAGCGGUGGAAUGCGUAGAUAUUAGGAGGAACAUCAGUGGCGAAGGCGACUUUCUGGACUGCAACUGACGCUGAGGCGCGAAAGCGUGGGGAGCAAACAGG
rnacentral:rRNA from 1 species